rnacentral:rRNA from 1 species
CCUACGGGAGGCAGCAGUGAGGAAUAUUGGUCAAUGGACGAGCGUCUGAACCAGCCAAGUAGCGUGAAGGACGACUGCCCUAUGGGUUGUAAACUUCUUUUAUAUGGGAAUAAAAUGUUCCACGUGUGGGAUUUUGUAUGUACCAUAUGAAUAAGGAUCGGCUAACUCCGUGCCAGCAGCCGCGGUAAUACGGAGGAUCCGAGCGUUAUCCGGAUUUAUUGGGUUUAAAGGGAGCGUAGGUGGAUUGUUAAGUCAGUUGUGAAAGUUUGCGGCUCAACCGUAAAAGUGCAGUUGAAACUGGCAGUCUUGAGUACAGUAGAGGUGGGCGGAAUUCGUGGUGUAGCGGUGAAAUGCUUAGAUAUCACGAAGAACUCCGAUUGCGAAGGCAGUUCACUGGACUGCAACUGACACUGAGGCUCGAAAGUGUGGGUAUCAAACAGGAUUAGAUACCCGUGUAGUC